GGAAAAUAGAAAUCCUGUAAUGGCCUCGAGGCCGUCGCUGCCAAGUUGCGCCGCCGCGACGGCCGACUGCGAGCUCCGUCCCUGCCGGCGAGCGACUGCGGUGUCCGCUCGUCGGCAACGCCAGGGACCACGUCCGUCAGCUCUUCUCUUCGCUAUUCUACAUCGACCCCUCAGGGAGAAGAAGAGAGAUUUGGAGGAGGGAGGCGGCCGGGGCCAUAAAGAUCAGCUGGCGCACACCACCUGUUCGAUGAAAUGCCCACAACGCGCCGCAGCACCGUCUUCGUCUCCUCUCUUCCUGAUCGCUCGCUGGUCCAUGCUGCCCCAUCCAUCAACGUUGACAAGUCACCAUCUCAAAGGGGAGAAUGACAUGAUGUACAACGAAAUAUGUAAUCUUGACCAAGUUGCUUUCGCAUCGGAGUGAAUUAAAGAUGCUCGACUGACUGCUGCCAAUAAAGAGCUCAAAGUGUUGAUGAAAACUUACAGGAUUGAAGAUAUAGAUUUACAAGGAGCAGAUCAAGAAGACCAGGCCCAGCACCACGCAGGAGGCCGUCAAGGCGCGCGCCAUGAGGAUCCUCAAGCAGCGCAAGAUGUAUGUAUUUCAACCUAGCUGCUCCUACAUACCCAACCCAACCCCCUCUUUAUUUAUUUAUUUGUCUCUGGCCGACUAGUCUCACAAACCAGACAAUUGCUGUACUAGUUGCUGCUCAACUAAUGAGGACAUGCAAUUUUCUGGAUAGAGGUCUAGAUGGCAAGUUGCACUUACAGAACAAUUUGAGGAUGUUUUCUUACCUAACAGGACACAUCUGAAAAGUAUAAUGAACUAGUUUAAUAAAACAAUUUUAGUAUCUUUCACAUUCUCUUAUGUUACUAGUCUAUCGCUUCUUAUACUCCGCAUUGAGGGGCUCCAUAAGGAAUUAUCAUCUGCUGCUAAACAGUGCUUAUUUUAAAGCGAAUCUCCAAAUAUGCUCUGUUAUUGGAAUUACACGGGUAGUUGUGGGUUUAUCCGCAUUUGUUAUGUUUGCUUUGUCUUAGGGAGAACUAGGAAGGAAAAUCAUAUUAACAAUGAGACUUCACUAUCAAUGCUUGUCUAAAAUGUCAACAAAAAUAUAUGGUUAACCAGACCUACUCUCUCUUGUGGCCGUCCAUCAGCAGUACCAAUGUUGACAAUUCACCAUCUAAAAGGCUAGGUGAGAAGGUAUAGCUGAAUCCUGAAUCUAGUUGACGUGCUUUCAUACAAUUUUAACAUGUUUUCCUUCUUUACAGUAGGUCAUUUUUUUAUAGUUUCAGAAUUUCCUCCUAGGUAGGUUGUGUCCAUAUAGAAACUGCUGAUUUGGAAAGCUAGCAAGUUCUUACCACGGAUAAGACAAAUAUGGAAUGCUAUUGGUUCUCCAUGAUUAUCCUGUAGCAUUUAAUCAUUCCUUUUGUGGCAGGAGCCUACAGUCUAGUGCUCUAAUCUUUAUACUCCACAUGCUUCCCUACAUGUAUGAAGGUCAAGGUGACAUGUAUAACCAAACUUAUAAUCUUGAACAAGUUGCUUUCGCAUUGCAGGGAAUUAAAGAUGCUCAACAAACUGUAUGCUUCUUCAUUUAUAUCUCCUAUCAAUUUCUUGCUUGGUAGAUUAUGAUUCUAGCUCCCAGACCAGACUUGUGUUCCUGAUUGUUUACACUUGUCAACCAGUAGACUAAUGUGCUGUGCUCACUUAUUUCUGUUGGUGCAGGAGGAUGAAUUGGGAUUGCCUACGGUGCCGCACGCGUCAAUUCGUACCUGAAAGUAACGAAAAAAACUAUGGUGUAGCUUUGAUCUCGAUGUGAAUGGUCGGCGCUAUGUUUGUGCAUGGACAAGUUCGUUGAAUCUUUCAUAUACCACUGCAAUUCGUUGAAUGAUGUCUCUUCCUGUUGUUUUGGAAUAAUAAUAGUGGAGCAAUAGAGGGAGUUGUUCUCUAUACUGUUGUACAUCCUGUUGGUAGCAUGUCUGUGAUUGCACUAGCUGAGUUGAAUUGGUAUCUAGUUUUCUGAUAAAAAAAGUUAUGGGACAUUGCUAGCUCUCAUGUUGUCUGUCAUAUGGGGAUUUCCUUCAUAUCAUAUCAUCUCAUCCUCUGUUAAGUUUGCAUUAGGCAUGAAGAAAAAGAAGAUUGUACGUCAUCCUUUGUUCCAUGUCAAUGUCGCGAACCCUCCUUGAUCAAUCCUCCAUCAUAAGGACAAGAACUUUAUACUCCUGCCCUACAACCCUCUGCUUGCUAAAUUUCCGACCACGCCAGGCAAACUCCCAUUGAAGUUGUUGUUGUUGAUCUUCAAGGAAUGUAGUUUCAUGCAGGCCCCUAAUUCCUCAGGCAAAUGCCGGAUCUCUUUUCCUCUCAAUUUUCAAAGAUCCCAUAUGGUGAAGCAAUUGUUGACCUUUCAUUGUAGCGACCGGAUAAAUUGCACAUGUAGUCUAAUGCAACGUCAUUGGAGGGAUUCAAGGUCUAAAAUUGUUCGUUAUCAGUAGAAGAAAGAAUUGAAGGGGAGCCUUGGCGCAGUGGUAAAGCUGCUGCCUUGUGACCAUGAGGUCAUGGGUUCAAGUCCUGGAAACAGCCUCUUACAGAAAUGUAGGGAAAGGCUGCGUACUAUAGACCCAAAGUGGUCGGACCCUUCCCUGGACCCUGCGCAAGCGGGAGCUACAUGCACCAGGUUGCCCUUUUUUUUAUCAGUAGAAGAAAGAAUUCAAGGUAAUUAAUGUGCAUAGGUGGAGCACGUUAUCCUGCUCUGGCCCACUGACCACCGGUGCUCCGGCCCCUGACUCCACGCCGCGGAGGCCGUACCCUCCGGCGUCCUCCUCCCCGUCUUGAAGCCCCACCACCGAGCGCUGGGCCAUCAAGUGCAGCAACCACGGUGUCCACUCGUCGGCAGCGCUACCGACCACGUCCGUGAGCUCUUCAAUGGCAUGGUGUUCUUCUCCCCGCUGCUCUACGUCCAUCGAGGUCGCCAUGCCACCCACAACUCCCAGUGCUCACCGUGCCUCAGGUGGUCAGUAGGUGCUCUCCCGAUCUAAUGGAUCCUACAACUUCUGGUGGCUGAUGCCAUGGACGAGGAGAAUUUGGUGGCUGCUGCUGAUUUUGCUGGUUUGAGCACCCAUUUCAGGGGCAGGAAGAGGAUUCAGAGGAGGGAGGCUAGCUGGGCCAUAAGGACAAGUUCCCGCACACCACAUGUUCGAUGAAAUGCCCAGCAAACUCUCCAAUUUAUAUCAGUCUUAGAUUUCUUCUGAAAAUUCCUUUGGCACUUUUGCAAAACUUCAGUAGUUUUGUGUCAUGGACAUGUUAAUUUAGAGACAAGACAGUAGUUCUCUGUAUGAUGUUCUCAUUUUUAUGUUGAGAAAUGCAGAGCUUGAUGCUUUGGAAGCUGAUAUGGACUUCGAAUCAAACUCAGUCCCAUCGUACCUCCAACCAGACAAGCAGACUGAUCUUUAUUCUGAGCCUAACUAACCUGCUGCACCAAGUGGUCAUGCAGCAGUCCGGCAAACCGG